CUUAAACAAAACAGACCGUGAAUGUGUCAUCCAUGCCGCCGGGCUACAGCCCAGCCAAGGGCCCCACYUCCGUUCCGGAGAAGCGGGACCGCAAAAGAACCCACGGCGCCGAAGGCAUCAAGGAACACUGAUAUUGCCUUGUUCGGGGCCGUGGCCGGCCUGCCGGCCGUGACCCUUGCAGCGAUUCUAUCUAUAAGCAAAAUGACUYUCGGCAACGGAUAUCUUGGCUCUCGCGUUGAUGAAGAACGUAGCAAAAUGUGAUACCUGGUGUGAAUUGCAGAAUCCCACGAAACCAACGAGUUUUUGAAUGCAAGUUGCGCCCGAGGCCCUCUAGUCGAGGGCACGCCUGCUUAGGCAUCACGUUAAAAGACACUCCCAAACCCAUCCUUGGGGGUGGGAUGUGGUGUUUGGCUCCCCCUGCCGCAUGGCACGGUGGGCCAAAGUUGGGGCUGCCGGCAUACGUGCCAGGCACAGCACGUGGUGGGCGAUGUCAAGUUGUUCUCGGGGCAGCGCCCCGGCUCGUGUUAGCCGGCCUAUCGGCCCUAUGGACCCAUCGAUCGUAGCGCUCUGCCGCUCGGACCGCAACCUAG
rnacentral:misc_RNA from 1 species